rnacentral:ncRNA from 1 species
GAAAGUUAGGGGAACGAAUGAGAUUAGAUGUCCCAAUAGUCCUAGUAGUAGACGAUGGAUACUAAACGUUGUGCGUAUCAACUCGUACAAUGUUGUAGCUAACGCGUUAAGUAUUC